CCCCACCAUGGUCACCACAGCAGCACAGAAUGGCCUUGGAGCGAGGGAAUCAGGCAUGAGGAACAGGGAGUGACCACCCCAGCACCCCACCCACGGGUCCCUGGGCACAGAUGCCACCACCAGAACCAUCAGUGGAGACAGCUUUGCUCUUGCACCAUUGGACAUGGUCACCUUCCCUGGAGAGAGAGCUCCCUCGGAGGACAAGGAGGAUGAGAAGGAUGAGGUCUGUGGACGCUGGAUCCUGUCAUGGAGCAAGUCCUGAGUGCCCUUCUCCAGGCUCGGGUACAACCAGGUGCCCCAUUCCCUGUUCUCCGUCUCUCCAACCUCGUGGUUCCUCGGACACUGCCCAGGCUUGGAAGAAGCUCAGCAAUGAGCAACCUGGUCCAGUGGAAGGUGUCCCUGCCCGUGGCAGAGGGGUGGAAUGAGAUGAGCUUUAAGGUCCCUCCCAACCCAAACUAUUCCAGGAUUCAGCACAAAUUCCUUGUUUUCCUCCUGAAACCAGUCCUGCAAACUCCCAUGCCAGGGAAGCACCUCUAGAGGAGUCUCCAUCGUGGGGAGAGUGUGGGAACAUCCACCUGCAGAGCCAGAGGGAUCCCAGCACUCCGAGGAUGUUCCCUCCCUCCAGCCCCAGGUUCAGCACAUUUUCCUCAGAAGCCAAGGGAACCCCAGCUUGCUCCAGGUGGAGGAGGAGCCAGUGGGAUGAAUCCUACCCCAAACAGUUGAAAAUCUUGUCACUGCGGAGCACGUGGAGAUGAUGGGAAGAACAGGGCAGCUUUAGGUGAUUUCUGCUGCCACUGCAGGUCACACAUGUCACCUCUGCCCAGCAGCAUCGCCGCUGUGGCUCCCCCUGCUCCUGAGGAGCAGCAAGGGUUGUCCCCUGGUCUUCCUCACAGAGGGAAGGUGUGCCCAAGGUGCAGAUGCCAUCAGAGCAGGGCUCCAGAUGCUCUUCCAGCAGGCUCAGCCAUCCUGUGGAUCCUGGCAGCCCCAUGGAGACCCCGGAGUAUCUC